CCAACCAGACCACGCAAAUCCAUCCCCAUCACUCUCUCUCUCCCUCGCCGCCGGCGCCACCGCGCCGCCGACGACAGCAGUACGCCAUGCUCCGCCUCCACAAGUACGUCCUCACCCAACUGCUACCUUCUUCCUCCGCCUCCGCCUCCGCCAUCUCCCCUCUCAGCCGCCUCAUCUCCGCCGCCGCGCCCGCCGUUUCCCCCACCCCUAGCAGCUUCGCCGUGGAGGAGUACCUCGUCGCCACCUGCGGCCUCAUCCGACCCCAGGCCGCCAAGGCCUCCGCCAAGCUCUCCCACCUCAAAUCCCCCGCCAAGCCCGACGCCGUCCUCGCCUUCCUCGCCGGCCUCGGCCUCUCCGGCGCCGACGUGGCCGCUUCCGCUCUAGAUCCAUGGUCUCCAAGCUGCAAUACUACUUGCCUCUCUUUGGGUCCUCUGAGCACCUCCUCCGGGCCUUCAAGAGGAACCCCUACCUUCUCUCGUCUGACCUUGAGGGUGUGGUCAAGCCCAAUGUCGCUUAUCUGCACGAGUGCGGGCUAGGUGCUUGUGAUAUUGCCAAGCUAUGCAUCAGUCGACCAGGUCUGCUCGUCAUCAAUCCAGAGCGCUUCCAGGACAUGGUGGCAUAUGCCGAAAACAUAGGUGUGCCCUGUGGUUCUGGGAUGUUCAGCCACGCGCUGCAUGCUGUUGCGUGUUUCAGCAAAGAGGAGAUCGCGGCCAGGGUGGACUACUUGAAGAACACGUUCAUGUGGACGGAUGCUGAGGUGGGCAUUGCUGUUUCUAAGGCCCCAUUGAUACUGACGAGGUCCAAGGAAUCGCUGCAGCGCAGGUCUGAGUUCCUCAUCUCCAAGGUGGGGUUGGAACCGGCAUAUAUUGCUUGUCAUCCGGCAAUGCUCACGUAUAGCUUGGAGGGUCGGCUCAGACCCCGGUACUAUGUUGUCAAAUUUCUCAAGGAAAGUGGAUUGCUAGAUCAUGACCGGGGCUACUUUGGUGCAGUCACGAUCAGCGAGAAGGUAUUCGUCGAGAAGUUCAUAUGCCCUCAUAAGGAUGCUGCACCGCAUCUCGCUGAAGAUUAUGCAACAGCUUGCAGAGGGGAGGUUCCAGCUAGAUUCAGUUUUACAUGAACCAAGACUAAUAAGAAAAUUGGUAUGUUCAUUAUGUCAUUCAGUAGAGAAGAAACCAUCACACUGCUGUGAAAUGGCCAUUUCAGUUUUGAAUGCAAUCCUCAAUCAAUAUUUCCAUGAAAGAAUGGUCUCAUUUUGGCCAUAAAGAUGAUAUGAAGUCUCUACUUUUCUUUGGAUGGAAAUUUUGAACCUCUUUUUCCUUGGGAAACAAUUUUGGAUUUGUUGAUGUGCUGAUCACUGUUGAGGAUCCAGUUUUGAUCUAGUUUGUUGGUUGCUUGCUUGCUUUAGUUCUUCUAAGCUGAAAUAUUCCUUCUGCCUGGAGUAGCUUUAUUAGUAGCUUUCUUUAUAAGAUAUUAACUGUUCUGAAAGCAGGCCAUUGUUGACUAGUAGUUUGUAUAUCAGUUUUUUUUUUGUCUCUUGUAGUUUUGGAUGACCUUCUGGGUGGUACUUUUCUAGGGGCAUCUGAUCUCGAAACUGAAUAGUUGAGUACAUCACCACGUGAACAGAUAUUUCUAACGCCCCGUUGCUUUUGUUGGAGAAGCAAAUUGCCGCUUGCAUGGUAAUGGCAUGGUGCUGACAAACAGAGGGCAUUUCAUACAACAAGGGAAGUUAUGUUAUGGUAACCUGAAAAAGGGUUAUGGCAUUACCAUGUUAGUUUCUGCUAUAUCUUUUAGCUAAUUUUAUUCCAUAAAAGCACUAUCCAUAAUUCCAUAUAGAUUGUGAGGGCAUCUUUAUCCUGUAGCAUAUUUGUUUAGGAUAGUAAAGUGGGUCUUAUGUACCAUCACUUUUGCAAAUUUCUAUCUGGAAAGUUGGAAUGGGAAUAGGAUGCCAUGUAGUCUGGAAUCUUGCAGAAUUUCAGACAUAGGAAUUACUAGGUACCUCAGUCUACAAACCAACCUGUGUGAGGAUGGUGCACAUUUUGUUUGUUCCUGAUGUGAGGCUGUAGAAGUUGUAGGAAAUGAGAUCUCAGGUGCGUCCUUGCAUUUAAAGAUCAGCUCUGUGUCGCCCUUCUCUGGUGCUUGUUGAAAUUAUAGAAUCAACAUUAAUGAAAUGUAGGAGAAGUGAACAGGUUGGCUGAUGAAGUGACUUACCACCAGGUGACAAGAUAUGGGGUUCUUCCUCAAGCAAAAAGUGGCUGGGCAAUAGGAGCAUACUGAUUGAAUGUAUUUGAAUUUUUGCAAUUGAAGAUGUGCUGAAACUGCAUGUUGAUGGUGCUUUCUUCUUCUUCCAGGAAACGACGCGAAACAUGUCGGCAAUGGCUUUGAUGCACUAAUACAUGAUUCUGAAGGCUCUGUAAGUUGAUGAUGCCCUGAAGAUUUAGUGACAAGUAUGGCCUGAUGCUGGCAUCUGACACGGAAAAUGAGAGGAACAAUUUAGGGUGACAUAUUGGCAUCAGUCAACAACAAGUAUGGAGAGGGUGAAGCAGCACUUGAAGAAAAUUAAUGAAGCAAAAGCUAAUGCAGCACGCUCCUCGAGAGGCUGCAUCCAUCCCUGCCGUUGGCUGGCUGCUGGACAAAACUGGGGCUACGCAUGAUUGGUUAGACGCACUUGAUCUUCUCGAACCUGGCCGGCGACGACAGAGGCAGCUCGAGCGGGCAGGUGACCUCCAGCCUGUGCGCGUCGCCGUGUGGCGGGUACUUGACCUCCCUGGCGAGCUUCAGCUGCAGCCGGAACACACCUCCCGCCGCGCUCUCCUUCACGAACUCCGCCACCCCGGCGCUUCCCAGAGGGGCGGCGCUCUCGCCCGACGACGCGACACGACGCGACGUUGUACACCUCCGUCUUCCACUGCCGGAUGUUCCCGUGCGAGCCCCCCCCCCCCCCCCCCGCAUCCUGACGCUGGCGAAGCGCUCGCCGGCGAAGAGCAGCUCUGCAUCGAGCGGCGCACCAACCCUGGCGUGCAUGGCCCAGUUCCGGUUGUGCAUGGCGACGGCGAGGGAGAUGUCGUAGGCGAGCAUGGUGCCGUUGGGGCCGGUGAGGGCCAGGUGGGCGAGCGAGGCGUCCUCAACGGGGACGCGGACGGGAAGGACGAAGGCGUAGGCCGCGACGAGGAUGGCAACCAGGAGAAGGAGGAGGAGGAGGAUCAGGAGGCAGCGGUGGGGAGUGUGGCCCCGAGAGCCGUUGUCGGAGCAGCAACAGCAGACAAAACAGUCGCCGUCACCGCAGUCAGCAGGGCAGUCGCCGUCGCUCAUGGUGCUGAUUGUUUCUUGUUUGUGCCUGAUCUGGUUCUGAUCGAUUGAGCAGCAGGGCAAAGCGAUGUAUGCAUAUAUAGAUUAUGGGUCGCGCUAACUGCCACACGUGUGGCAUAUACGACAUGCGCCCACACACCAUGUGUGGUGUACGUAGGAGGCAGCCCACAUGGAUUGUGUGUGGGCGGACAUUAGAAUUGCCCACACGUGUGGGCGCGGCUAUUUCGUGCCACACGUCCAACAAGUACUACUUAUCUUCACCCCGUGUGUGUGGCACGAAGCAAAAAUGCCCACACGUCAUAGCGCAGCUACAUUAAGUACUCCGCGGGAUGACGGUUUAGUUGCCAUCCUGGUUGGCAGAUGUAGUUAUCCGGUAUGGCAACUGUAGUUAUAAAAGCAUGGCAACUCUAUCUGUUUUGGUUAAAUAUAGUUGCCAUGUCUAAUUUAUGAUAGUUGCCGCGUGUAAUCAAACCGUAGUUGCCGUGUGUGAUUAGCUACUUGCCAUAUAUGGUCAAAACAGUAGUUGCCAUGUGUGUUUACCUAGUUGCCGCGUGUGGUCCAAC